GAUUGAACGCUGGCGGCAUGCCUUACACAUGCAAGUCGAACGGCAGCACGGGAGCAAUCCUGGUGGCGAGUGGCGAACGGGUGAGUAAUGUAUCGGAACGUACCUUUCAGUGGGGGAUAACGUAGCGAAAGUUACGCUAAUACCGCAUAUUCUGUGCGCAGGAAAGCAGGGGAUCGCAAGACCUUGCGCUGAUUGAGCGGCCGAUAUCAGAUUAGCUAGUUGGUGAGGUAAAGGCUCACCAAGGCGACGAUCUGUAGCGGGUCUGAGAGGAUGAUCCGCCACACUGGAACUGAGACACGGUCCAGACUCCUACGGGAGGCAGCAGUGGGGAAUUUUGGACAAUGGGGGCAACCCUGAUCCAGUCAUGCCGCGUGAGUGAAGAAGGCCUUCGGGUUGUAAAGCUCUUUCGGCCGGGAAGAAAUCGCAUGGGUUAAUACCCUGUGCGGAUGACGGUACCGGCAUAAGAAGCACCGGCUAACUACGUGCCAGCAGCCGCGGUAAUACGUAGGGUGCGAGCGUUAAUCGGAAUUACUGGGCGUAAAGCGUGCGCAGGCGGUUUUGUAAGACAGGCGUGAAAUCCCCGGGCUCAACCUGGGAACUGCGCUUGUGACUGCAAGGCUAGAGUAUGGCAGAGGGGGGUGGAAUUCCACGUGUAGCAGUGAAAUGCGUAGAGAUGUGGAGGAACACCAAUGGCGAAGGCAGCCCCCUGGGCCAAUACUGACGCUCAUGCACGAAAGCGUGGGUAGCAAACAGGAUUAGAUACCCUGGUAGUCCACGCCCUAAACGAUGUCAACUAGGUGUUGGGUGGGUAAAACCAUUUAGUACCGGAGCUAACGCGUGAAGUUGACCGCCAGGGGAGUACGGCCGCAAGGUUAAAACUCAAAGGAAUUGACGGGGACCCGCACAAGCGGUGGAUGAUGUGGAUUAAUUCGAUGCAACGCGAAAAACCUUACCUACCCUUGACAUGUCCAGGAGCCUGAAGAGAUUUGGGUGUGCCCGAAAGGGAGCUGGAACACAGGUGCUGCAUGGCUGUCGUCAGCUCGUGUCGUGAGAUGUUGGGUUAAGUCCCGCAACGAGCGCAACCCUUGUCGUUAAUUGCCAUCAUUCAGUUGGGCACUUUAACGAGACUGCCGGUGACAAACCGGAGGAAGGUGGGGAUGACGUCAAGUCCUCAUGGCCCUUAUGGGUAGGGCUUCACACGUCAUACAAUGGUCGGUACAAAGGGUCGCCAACCCGCGAGGGGGAGCCAAUCCCAGAAAGCCGAUCGUAGUCCGGAUCGUAGGCUGCAACUCGCCUGCGUGAAGUCGGAAUCGCUAGUAAUCGUGGAUCAGCAUGUCACGGUGAAUACGUUCCCGGGUC
rnacentral:rRNA from 1 species